UGUAAAGAUAACACUAGUAAGCAGACCGAGCUUAUGCAUCUGAUGCUGGGAUCAACCUGAUUCACAGAGUGUAAAGCAUUCGACUAAUUUACACCUUGAGAGCUUAUUCUUGGUGGGUUGGUUGGAUAGAAUCUGGUAGUCGAGCGCUUCCGUAUCCAGUGGAAAUAGGAAUCCGGGGAUAGCAGAGCUUAUUGCUAUUCUGCGGUUGGUAACAAUAUAAAUUCAACAAGAAAUAAAUUUUCAUUUAAUUAGGCUUCGGUUCAGUGACAGCGAAUGAUUCCCUAAUCAUCUUUCUCCUUAUUACUUUAAACUAGUAUUUAUUAUUUUGUUUUAUUAGUUACUUUAAUUUGAAAAUCUAAAAACCCCAUUUCAGUUACUUUUUAAACAGCUAGAAACUCCCUGUUCUUCGUGGGAACGAACUCCUUACCAUUAUAUUACCAGUUAAUUGUGUGGAAAGAAGUAAUUAAUUUGUUGCGUAAACGACGCGCAACCAAAUUUUGGCGCCGCUGCCGGGGAGCAGUCGGUAGCUUUUAGUUGUUUUAUUUUAUUUUAGUAAUUUUAUUUAGUACUUUUGUUAUUUUAUAUUUUUCUUUAAUUUAUUUUAGGUUUUAGUUGUUAGUUAUUUUACAGUACUUUGUUUUUAGAUUUUCAUUUAUAUUUUUGUUCUUUAAUUUAUUUUCUUCUAGUUAUUAUUAUUUUUUUUUAGUUUUAGUUGUUAUUCCUUAAUUUAUUUUAUGUUAAUAUUUAUUGUAAUUCAGUUUAGAUUAUUAUUGUUAUUUAUUUUUUUUUAUUAAUAUUAUUUUCUGUUAAUCGUUAAUUUUGUUAAUAUUAAAAAAAAGUUUAUAUUUAUUUAUUUCACAUUUUAAUAUUUUCUAGAUUUUACUUUAAUUUUUCUGGUUUGAGGUACUUAAUCUCUGGCACCUAAACGGUGGGAUUAUGAAAGGUGCAGAAUCAAAACUCGCAGGGGAACAAUACUGUAACAACAUCAACAGUCGCAACAAGAAUCAUUUACUGAAGAGAUGGUUAAUACAGACGACGAGAGAGAUCCUCCACCACCUCCACCUCCGGAGAAGAAGCUACGAGAAUUGACAUCUCCAUGCUUAGAUUCGGAACCAUUGUGUAUUACCUUAACUAACCCAGUGGAACUGAAGUCAAGUAUGAUUCAUCAUUUACCAAAGUUCAAGGGACUUCCGGGUGAAUAUCCAAACCGUCAUCUUCAAAAAUUCCAUCACAAGAUGACAAGUCUAAGGAAAGGUACCGAAGACAGUGAUACGGCAAUGCUGCAAGCUUUUCCGUUCUCUUUAAUAGAUAUGGCGGAAGAAUGGAUGUAUUAUCUUCCCCCAGGGAGUAUUACAACAUGGACUGAAAUGAAAAAACUAUUUUUGGAGAAAUAUUUUCCUGCUACCAAGGCGUCCGCUGUUCGCAAGGAGAUUAGUGGCAUUCUGGAGCUUACCGGAGAGUCUCUUCAUGAAUAUUGGGAGAGCUGUUCUCACAGGCAACUAAUUUGAUUGAGAGCAUGGCUUCGAAAGCUCAACAAUUCUACACCAGAAACAACUCAAGCGUCAGAAGAGUUAGCGAGAUAGGAGAGUCUGCACAAUCAGAGCAACGGAUAAGCAACAUAGAAAAGGUGUUUUUGGAGAAAUAAGUUUUUGCGGGAAAAUUGGCUCGAAAAGUGGUAUUUGCGCUCGUGGAAGAAAAUUACUAUUCGGACUAUCAGUUUGGAUAAGGGGCACCCACUGAUAAGAGGUGCCCUAAUUGCUAUUUACACCCCACUGCUAUGGCAGCCAAAAAAAUGUUAGGGGAACAUCACUUUUUCCCCCCGUUUAAAUCAAGUUUUAGCGGGAAAAAGGAAUACUCAGCAGCAUGAAGUUUUGGCGAGAAAAUGGUGAAGGUUUAGUUGGAUUUAUUUGUUCGAAUGGACUUGGAUUGGCCUGCUAAGUUUAAACAGGCUUGGUUCAUGGGUUUGUUCGCGGAAAAGAUGAGGCUGAUUCGACAAAACGGGGAGUAUUUAUUCUCGGGAUUUUUGUGAACUUGCUGGAUCGAGUUUGGGUGAGUUUUAGUCGGAGUUCUACUCGGAUUUGGUUUGGUACUGAUCUGGCACGAAGAAACAGGAUUGGUUAGGGGUUUUAUAUUGGAAGUAAAGGAAAGUUAACGGACUCUUUACAAAACAGGGGAUGAGAAAUAUUAACCGGAUUUUGUUCUUCAUACAAGGAAGUUGCAGAAGAAACGGGGAGUAGAAUAUUUUCUAUUAGAUUUGUUUCCAUCCUAAGAAGAGUCUUGAACAGCUAAGAUUCGAUUAUUGACGCGGCGUGAGAUAAAAAUGGGAAGAAAGAGAUAUUCAUCUCGGUAUCUUGCAGUGGAGGAAAAUAAAGAUAUUUCAACGAUACAAUCACAUGUAGUGUAUAAAUACAAGUGUUUGAGGGUCAUAAAAUGGAAGUCGAUUAGUUUGGGGCCUUUACGUAGUUUAGGGGAAACUCUGGUACGAAGAAAUCACGCUGCAGAGAAAGUUGCAGCAGCAUGAGGAAGAAGACGAAGCUGAAGAACAUUAGACGACCCAAGUCAGUCGCAGAAAAGUGUGGUUUAUCCACGACACACAUAAUAUCGUUUCCAGCAGUCUUACAUCUUCUGUAUCGUUAGUAACAGUCGAUCUGCCACGCAUAUAAACGUUGCAAUUGAUCUGUUUUAUCUUUUUCUUGUAUUUUCACUCUCUUCAAACACUUUGGAGCCAUGAAUAAAUAUUUUGAGCAUGUUUUUGAUA